GAUCAGGCUCAGGAUGAACGCUGGCGGCGUGCCUAAUACAUGCAAGUCGAACGCACUGAUUUUAUCAGUGAGUGGCGAACGGGUGAGUAAUACAUAAGUAACCUGCCCUCAUGAGGGGGAUAACUAUUAGAAAUGAUAGCUAAGACCGCAUAGGUGAAGGGGUCGCAUGACCGCUUCAUUAAAUAUCCGUAUGGAUAGCAGGAGGAUGGACUUAUGGCGCAUUAG
rnacentral:rRNA from 1 species